AAGUUAGGAUGUUACAUUUGAGGCAUCUUGUAACAGCUAGGAACGGAAGAGCCGAAUCGAGUGAAGCUGCCCUAGGGCGUUUCUCGGUCCCAGCCACAGUGGAAGAAACGUUUCGACCAUUUCAUGCAGACCGCCUUACUUAUUUUGCCGUUUGGUUUAGGUCUGUUCGGAAUAAGAUCCACUUAUUUCACAUGAGGGACCGGAUGCAAGUUACUGUAUCAUCUCUCAUAAAAUGUUCCCACGUGACUUUACCGUUGUGAAGCAAGAGGAUUUGGAUCCGAACUGGCCAGGCUGGAGAGAAGUUGUAGUAGCAAACAGAGCAGCUUUCUUGUGUGGUUGCAGGCGUUGUUGCAUUUGUUUAUUAUAGCAUUCCCCUCUUGCCUCUCCCAUGUCUACCUUUUCUUUUCUUUAAUCCUGGUUCUAGAGUCCUUUAUUUCUUUCUGUCAAAGCUC